rnacentral:rRNA from 1 species
GGAAUAUUGGUCAAUGGGCGCGAGCCUGAACCAGCCAAGUAGCGUGCAGGACGACGGCCCUAUGGGUUGUAACCUGCUUUUAUGCGGGGAUAAAGUGCGGCACGUGUGCCGUUUUGUAGGUACCGCAUGAAUAAGGACCGGCUAAUUCCGUGCCAGCAGCCGCGGUAAUACGGAAGGUCCGGGCGUUAUCCGGAUUUAUUGGGUUUAAAGGGAGCGCAGGCCGGAGGUCAAGCGUGACGUGAAAUGUAGCCGCUCAACGGCUGAACUGCGUCGCGAACUGGUAGUCUUGAGUGAGUUCGAUGUUGGCGGAAUUCGUGGUGUAGCGGUGAAAUGCUUAGAUAUCACGAAGAACUCCGAUUGCGAAGGCAGCCAACAAGGCCUUUACUGACGCUAAAGCUCGAAGGUGCGGGUAUCGAACA